rnacentral:rRNA from 1 species
AAUCAACGCUGGCGGCGUGCCUCAGACAUGCAAGUCGAACGCGAAAGUCCCCUUCGGGGGGCAAGUAGAGUGGCGCACGGGUGAGUAACACGUAGGUAAUCUACCUUCGGGUGGGGAAUAACAACCGGAAACGGUUGCUAAUACCGCAUAAUGCAGCGGCACCUAAUGGUGACAGUUGUUAAAGCGGGGGAUCGCAAGACCUCGCGCCUGAAGAGGAGCCUGCGGCGGAUUAGCUAGUUGGCAGGGUAACGGCCUACCAAGGCGACGAUCCGUAGCCGGCCUGGGAGGGCGGUCGGCCACACUGACACUGACAUACGGGUCAGACUCCUACGGGAGGCAGCAGUCGGGAAUUUUGGGCAAUGGGCGAAAGCCUGACCCAGCAACGCCGCGUGAAGGAUGAAAUCCUUCGGGAUGUAAACUUCGCAAGAACGGGGAGAAUAAGCCGGUGUCAACACCACCGGCGAUGACGGUACCGUUGUAAGCUCCGGCUAACUCCGUGCCAGCAGCCGCGGUAAUACGGGGGG